rnacentral:rRNA from 1 species
AACGAACGCUGGCGGCAUGCCUAACACAUGCAAGUCGAACGAGACCUUCGGGUCUAGUGGCGCACGGGUGCGUAACGCGUGGGAACCUGCCCUUAGGUUCGGAAUAACUCCCCGAAAGGGGUGCUAAUACCGGAUAAUGUCUUCGGACCAAAGAUUUAUCGCCUUUGGAUGGGCCCGCGUUGGAUUAGCUAGUUGGUAGGGUAAAAGCCUACCAAGGCGACGAUCCAUAGCUGGUCUGAGAGGAUGAUCAGCCACACUGGGACUGAGACACGGCCCAGACUGUUACGGGACGAAGAAGGGGGGAGUGUGGCGCAAGGGGGGAAAGUCGGAAGCCGCUAGGACGCGGGAAGGAGGAAGCGGUUAGGAGAGUAAAAGGCUUGGAAAGGGGAGGACAAGGACGGGACCCGGAGAAGAAGCCCCGGCUAACCUCGGG